rnacentral:lncRNA from 1 species
GCUCUGAGCAUGAAAGCCACACCAUUUCCACUGGGUUAUAAAGCCUGGCCCUAAGAAGCUGUCACUAAUGUUGAGUUCUAAGGGAUGCCAUGCGCCCUGCAGCCCCAGGGCAAAUGGCUGCUAGGUCUCCACAGUGUCUCUCGCCCUCCACUGCCUGCCCUCGAGGCCUGAACAGAGGCACAGUGGCCAAGGCGAUGGUCACCUAUUUACAGCAGUGACAAGUCUGAGAGAUUGGCAGACACGUGCCAUUUUGAUAAAAAUUUAUUUAAAAAGAGAAAAAAUAUAUAUACUGACAGUCUAAUCAGAAGAUUUGUCCUGUGGGACUAUGACAUUUAUUUUCCAAAGUUUCUAAAGAAUACGGGUCUAUGGUGAUAAAUACAGUACAAUCCGUUUUUAACUGUUAAUGUCUUUAAUGUAAGAGAAGAAUAUAUGUACCUGGUUUGCUGUUUAAAAAAAAAAAAAACAAAACAAAACACUAUAGCAGCAAACUAGAGAUCCUGCCUGGAGUAUCGAGGAACGAAAGGACCAACCAAACCCCUAAGGGUUGCCGUCUGAUCUGACCUUCACAGACAUGCAGUAACAAAUGCAUGCCCUCACACAGGAAUGUACACACACAUCAAUACUUUUUUAAAAAACAAAGUUGAUCCCAUCUUCUUCCCACCUUUCCAACCAUCAUGAUGCCGGAUCUCCCCUAUGUGCCAUUUUGUUUCUUUGCAAAGUUUCACAUCUCGUUUGCUAUUUGUUAUCUAUUGCUCCCAUGAUAUCCUGUGGCGUUGCCAUUUUUCUUUAUUUAAAAUCACUAUAAAUGAGUUUCAUUUGCACAUGCAAUCUAGAUUAGAAGCUACCUUGGGCUCCUAGAACCAAGAAAGCAGGAACCCAGUUUCAGAGCGGCAUGGCACCGUGCCCCCUCAUAAAGUCAGAUAUGGCCUGGAUCUCGUCUCAGAGAAAAGAGGAUGAUAAACUAAUUAAGGCAUUUUAUUGUCUGUAUCAGAGUUAUUAUCCUAAAAAUCCAUUAACUAUAUAAUGAUAACCAAAUGGCUGGAUGGGCCGUUAACAGUAAUAUGUCCCUUGGGGAUCCACACAGCACUGUGUGUGUGCCGUGUGCAGACGUGGUGAUAAAAGUGGUUCUGAGACUAAACUUAAGUGCAAAAGUUUCACUGAUGAAGAUUCUGUGGGAGAACAGGUUUCUUCUCUCUGUUUCCUGAAAGGCUUGACAUUUUUUUUUCUUUUUUUGGUUUUUCGAGACAGGGUUUCUCUGGGUAGCCCUGGCUUUCCUGGACCUCACUUUGUAGACCAGGCUGGCCUCAAACUCAGAAAUCCACCUGCCUCUGCCUCCCGAGUGCUAGGACUAAAAGCAUGCACCACCACGCCCGGCUUGACAUUUAUUUUAAGCUCAGUGUCUUUAAGUAAAAGGACGAUUAAGAGAGAUGGUCUUGCUAGCCUUUUGGUUUAAAACAACUGGUCAAAUAGUAUUAAACAGCAGAAAAUGGCCAACAAAGAUGGAAGCCUUUCCUGGCUUCAUGGCUGGAACGGAGAAUAAGCUCUCCCCAUCAAACGUAAUGGGAUCUCGGGGUGCAGCAGUUCUGCUUUACAAUGUGUCCAAAAUCCCCCCUUGAUUUGAAGUGUUUGCAGCAGUUUGUUCCUCUCCUUUUUUACUCAGGAGAAAAUAUUUUUUUUUAAGUAACAGAUAAAAAAAAAUAAGAGUAAUCAAUAAAGACUUUUGUUAACCUUGGCCUUCAUUGAAAAUAGUCUAUCCUGACUCUGCAAUAUAAGUUUUUUGACCUUGGACCUGUCUGUAUUGGUAAGAUACUGCAAGGUUCUGUGGUGUGUACUUGUAAAAUACACUUUUCUUUAAAGCUCUCUCUCGCUCUCUCUCUCUCUCUCUCUCUCUCUCCUUAAGUAGUUGGUGAAUUGGCAUUAACUUGAGGAAACAGAACAUUUCAGGUUUUUCUAAGUAUCUUGCAGUACAUCAACCCCCAAAGACUUCCGUAGGAAACACAUUGACCCUUUAAAAAAAACAUAUAUAUGUGUGUGUGUGUGUAUGUAUGUAUGUAUAUAUAUAUAUAUGUAUAUAUAUAUAUAUAAAUUCAAUAGACAACAUAUUAUUUUAUUGAAAAUACAACCUGCUCUCAUACAUUACAUCCAACCACAGUUUCCCCUCCACUGCACUCCUCCCAACCUCGUAGCUCUUUUGUUAUUCAAAGAUAAGAAAAAAUGUAUCAAGAUGAAGUGAGUCUUGCUGCCUGUCUGAAGCAGCUUCGUUGUUGCAUCUAAUCGCCUUUACAGAGCUUUGCACAAGCUCACUUGUUCAGACUAAAGACCCUAAAAGAAAAAUUACAUGUGUGUGGCGCCUUGCCUCUCAUCAUCUUGAAGUUUUCUUUCAAAGUAACUAAUUAUGUGCUGCUUCCCAAAUAGAAGUGCAGAUUUUGUUCAUGCAGUUUCUGAAUUUUUAACUCUACCUUUAUUUUUAUCUUUGGGAGUAGAAGCCAUUGUCUUUGUCUUUAACAAACUCCAAUGACAAAUUAUUGCGAGAUAAGCUGAUGACUACCAUAAUGCAGAUCUCCAGGCCACGGGCAAUUAAAACCCGUCAGUCGUCAGAAGUGUUCACCCAGCAGCGGACCUGGAGCAGGAGCUGAGAGCUAAGCUGGACCAGGAACACUUGUUAAGAUGCAGAGAUGCCAUCCGCUAAAGCUUGGACUGGUUUUUAAAUUUACAACCAAGAUUUAUGUCUGAGCUAAAUUUGACUAAUCAGACACAAUUCAUGGGCUAGAUUUAACUGUAGUAGGAAAUGAUGGGAAAGCCUUCCCUUUCCUACAUGUCUCUUCUGAGCUGCUGAAAAUUUUAGUCUGAUUAGGUGUACGCUAGUCUUUGUAGCCCGAUAUAGACGUUAGUACAAGUUCGAGGAUAGAAUGCGUUGUUGCAUCUUUAUAUGUCUGCUAUUACAUAUACCUCAGCCCUUUAUUUUAUGUCUCAGUAUC